rnacentral:rRNA from 1 species
UGGGGAAUUUUGGACAAUGGGGGCAACCCUGAUCCAGCCAUGCCGCGUGCGGGAAGAAGGCCUUCGGGUUGUAAACCGCUUUUGUUCGGGAAGAAAAGGCUUAGGUUAAUACCCUGAGUACUUGACGGUACCGGAAGAAUAAGCACCGGCUAACUACGUGCCAGCAGCCGCGGUAAUACGUAGGGUGCGAGCGUUAAUCGGAAUUACUGGGCGUAAAGCGUGCGCAGGCGGUUAGUUAAGUCUGAUGUGAAAGCCCCGGGCUCAACCUGGGAAUGGCAUUGGAAACUGGCUAGCUAGAGUGUGGCAGAGGGGGGUGGAACUCCGCGUGUAGCAGUGAAAUGCGUAGAGAUGCGGAAGAACACCGAUGGCGAAGGCAGCCCCCUGGGCUAACACUGACGCUCAGGCACGAAAGCGUGGGGAGCAAACA